UCAGAGCGAACGUUAGCGGCGGGCCUAACACAUGCAAGUCGCACGAGAAAGGGGCUUCGGCCCCGAGUAAAGUGGCGGACGGGUGAGUAACACGUGGCUAACCUGCCCUCCAGUGGGGGAUAACAGCUCGAAAGGGCUGCUAAUACCGCAUUCGUCGGAGAGCCCUGCGGGGUUUUCCGGGAAAGCCGGCCUCUACAUGUAAGCUGGCGCUGGAGGAGGGGGCCGCGGCCCAUCAGCUAGUUGGUAGGGUAAUGGCCUACCAAGGCUUAGACGGGUAGCUGGUCUGAGAGGAUGAUCAGCCACACUGGGACUGAGACACGGCCCAGACUCCUACGGGAGGCAGCAGUGGGGAAUAUUGGGCAAUGGGCGCAAGCCUGACCCAGCCACGCCGCGUGAGUGAUGAAGGCCUUCGGGUCGUAAAGCUCUGUGGGGAGGGACGAACCGGCUGUCGGUGAACAACCGCGGCC
rnacentral:rRNA from 1 species